rnacentral:lncRNA from 1 species
GGGUCUCAUGCUUUACAUGCUUAAAUCAGAACACAACCUAUUUAGCUCUGAUAUCAAUGUUGAUUUUCGAGCAAGAAUCAACAUAAAAACUUGAAAAUCCGAAUUUAAACACAUACCUGGAUUAUAUGCGGAAAACCGAUAAACCAAGAUUGUGCUACUGAUUUAUGGUCGGAAGAUGAUCACAAAGUCGGAAGAUCCUCUCUAUUCACAUUGCAAGAACCCUCUAAGCUUCCCUUGUCUUGAAUUUUCUCUAAAUUGCACUUUUGGUUAAC